UGCGGAAGGAUCAUUAAUGAAUUGUAGUGGGAGUUGAUGCUGGCAGUUGCCUCUUUGGCUGCAUGUGCUCGCUUCUACAAUCCUUAUCCCAAAACACCUGUGCACCUGCUGAGGGGGAAAUUCCUGAAACGACUGCUGUUAGUUUUCUUGGGUUUCCUUCCUGUCACACACACUGCUUACAAUGUUGAAUGUGGUUGUGCCAUGCCAAGGCAUUUAAUCUAAUACAACUUUUAACAACGGAUCUCUUGGUUCUCGCAUCGAUGAAGAACGCAGCGAAAUGCGAUAAGUAAUGUGAAUUGCAGAAUUCAGUGAAUCAUCGAAUCUUUGAACGCACCUUGCGCUCCCUGGUAUUCCGGGGAGCACACCUGUUCGAGUGUUGUGAAAUUCUCAAGCUGGGAUACUUUUUUCUUGGCUUGGUAUUGGGCUUUGCCGUGUUUAUGAACGGCUGGCCUUAAAAGUAUUAGCUGACCUUUAUGUGGGAUUGGUUCUACUCGGUGUGAUAAUGAUCUGACCACCGAGGACAUCUUUUGGGAUGGCCAAAUUCUCAUUCGGGUUGCUUCUAAUCUGGUUUUGCAGAGUCUCAAAUCUGCUCCACUUUUCAAUUUUGACCUCGAAUCAGGUGGGACUAACCCGCUGAACUUAAGCAUAUCAAUAAGCGGAGGAAAAGAAACUAACAAGGAUUCCCCUAGUAACGGCGAGUGAAGCGGGAAAAGCUCAAAUUUAAAAUCUGGCAGUCUUUGAUUGUCCGAGUUGUAAUCUAGAGAAGCGUUUUCCGUGCUGGACCG
rnacentral:rRNA from 1 species